UAAUAUUGUAACUGAUCAUUAUAUUUCUUUUUCUGCACUUUAGGAAGAAACGGGGAUGACCAGCAAAUUGAAGAUGAGUUCAAAAAUUACAGGAAUAAUCUAAGCAGGAGACCACUGAGUCCAUUAAGGAAACCACGGAAGUUGUUAAAAGCCAGGAGUAAAGUCCUUAAAUGCAAGUAUUCCUCAGAUGAGGUGAGACUGGCAUCAUGGGAGAGACUGGUCCAGAACUUCCUGAGUUAUUAUUCCUCAUCUCAGCUUUACCCCUGCUGGAAGAAUUUCGCUUCGCUGGUCAAAUUUAGAUUGGCCCACUGUGGAGCAGGAGCCAAUCAGCGAUGAGGGCACGGCUGAACUAUCCAAUCAGGUGGGCUGAGGGAGGAGGGCUCUUCUGGUAUCUAGGCUCAAAAGUGCACACCCUGAAGGCAUUGCUGAGAGCGCCCACAUCAGUACACCACCCUUUCACGUAACUUCUAUCGGCUGGAACCGCAAUAAAGAUCCUCUGCUUAGCUCCAGA
rnacentral:lncRNA from 1 species